rnacentral:misc_RNA from 1 species
CACAGGUCCAAAACCACCUUCUCCCAGCUUGUUUUCACUUGAAAAGUUAUCUGUGGUCUUCAUUAUGGUGAUCAAAUCAAUUAUUGGUAACUCCAAGUCUUCAUUUCUGCUUUGAUCGUUGUAAUCCCUUCCAAUUACGCUUCUCAUCUUCUCUCGGAGUUUAAUUCUCCUUUUCCUCAUAUACAAGAUCCAUCCAAGUACAAGCACUCCUGUGCCUAAUAUAGUGGUGCAGACAAUGAUUCCUAUUCGCUUCUCCCUCCUGGAUUCUCUCUUCUUCUUGAUCUCAUCUAGGUAUGAAGUAGCCAUUCGUACAUAGAGGUCUUGCCCUACAUCAGCAAAUUCCCUAAUGUCAAUCAACUCACUAAACCAAAGCAAGCAUCCACUUCCGUCUGUGAUAUUCAAAGUUGAAUAAGCUGUACAAGAGCAAUUGUUCAGGCACACACUCUCACAUUCUCUAAGGUCCAUGGUCCUGUUAAACCAGGAAUUUUUCGUAUCUGGCAAUUUGACGCCUGAUAUUUUCUGAAACCCCUCUCCUGCCCUACAAAUUGAUCCAUUCUUUCUUACGCAUCCGUUAGACCAAUACCCUGAAUCCCAAGCUUGCUCAUCUUUCGGUACAAAUCCAUCCAGGCAAGCACAUGGCGGCGAAUUGUUAAUGUUACAAGUUCCAUAUGCACCGCAAACCGCAUAUCUGUCGCAGUUAUCCAUCUGUGUUGUUAAGUACAGGUUCCAAGUUUGAGUGCUAUUCGACCAUGUAAGACGCUGGAAGAUACCAUCAUUAUUUAGCACCAUCAUUGAAAUAACGGAGUUGCCAAUAAGAUCAUACCUGUAAUAUAUCUCCUGCUGAUUGUAAACGAACUCGUAAGUAUAAAUUGGGUUUGGUUUCAAAUUAGGCAUCCCACUGAAUCUAAGACCAUUCCAAGGUCCCGAACGAAACACUAUAUUCUCAUCUUUCCUGAUGUAUAUUUGGGGAUACCCACCGGGAUCAAGCCUAGUUGUAGAAUCACCUAAAGAAGGAUCGGUGGUGCUUUUCCAGGAUACAAGAUAUCGAUCAUGGCCAGUUACCAAGUUCCUCCCAAACUUGAUGCCUGGUAAAAACGUGUCACUUAAGUAAUCAAAACUUUGCCAUAAGUAAUUAUCCUCAUUAGUGUCAUUUGCCUCUCUAAUAACAAGAUUCCCUGAGUCCAAAAGCUGAGCUACUGGGUUCUGCACCACUCUUGAUGUGUUGGUGACCCAUAUGACAGUGUUUGUUGAAUUAUGGAGAACAAGAAUUCCCCUGCUGGUAAGUUGCAGAACUCCUGAUGAAUCAUUGAGUGGCAUUGCUCUGUUGGCAACCCAGACCACAGUCUUAUUAGAGAAAGGAUACCAAAUUCCAACAUAUCGACUGCUUGAACCGCUGUAGCCGAAGAAUCCCAGAGCAAAUCUACCGCUAGCAGAAACUAUAGUCUCGCCGUCUCUGAUUGUCUGGUUGACGGCUAUGGUAUCAACAGCAAGGGAGACUAUUAAGAAAGAGAAAAAAGCAGAGAAUAAAGAAAGAAGCUUAAAAUCUUUCAUGGAAAAGUUAAAAUUUGAUUGCCCAACAAAAAAAGGGUGU